UACUCUGAGGGCCACGGGCAACCCUCAAAGCCUCGGGUAGGGGGAGGACAGGAUUAGAUCCGGGCUUUGCAAAGCCCUUUUGGCACCCCCUGAACAGAAUGGAGGGUCUGAGAGGGGCCAGGGGAUGGCUGGAGGCAGGGAAACAGUGGGGAGCACAGGCAGGGCUCUGGGGGAGCUGGAAGGCCUCUAGUGGGCCCAGUGCGGUUGCACAACUGGGCCGCAUUUACCACCGGGGGACUCGGGCUCUCACACAGCGCUCCUCCCGCUCGACCCUUCUACAGGCUCAUCCGAGCCCCUGAUGGCACGGCCAGGCCAGUCUGAGGCCCAGGGGAGGCCACAGGAGCGCCUGAGCCCAGGACAAAUCCCUGCCCUCCUGGGAGGGACCAGCUCGAAACACAGGUCUGUCGCCGGUGCUGGCUGCUGGAGGAGGGACACAUGGUCCCUGGGAUCUGGUCCUGGAGGAGAGGAACGUUUCAGAGACACCUGUGUGGCUCAGCUUUCCCUUGUCUGGAUGCCUGAAGAUGUGGAGAAGCACUAUGAUCCACCUCACAGUUCUUGACUAUUAUUGUAGAGGGCACAGAGCUAGAGGAGGACGAAGGCCCAAGAGCUGGACAUCUGGAUGAGCAGGCCCGGUGCUAAGACCCAGAUUCAAACCCUGCGGAGGGCAGCCCGGGCUGGACCUGGCCUCUGGUUGGCCUCUUUCUCCGAAGAGACCCACAGCUCCCCCAAGAUGUCAGCGCUUGGUGUGCCCAGUACUGAGAGAGCUGAGGUCGCAGAGAUGGUGGUAAUGUCCUGAGGGCCUACGGUGUGCCAGCCACUGUGCUAAGUGCUUCUAGAUGGAAGACUUCACUGGACCCCUCCCAGCUACCCCCACGAGAAAUCCAGCACAAAGAGACCUCGAUGAAAAUGAAAAGGGCCUUCAAGCUUGACUGAAUCCAGGGGCUCCAGUAGUGCUGUCGGAAAUCUGGCCACAGUCACACGGGCUUAGGGGUUGCUGUGUCUUCCACGGCUAGUGUUCAGGUCAGUCAUGCUCCAGCUACGUGCUCCGAAUAUGGGGAAGGGGUAUUUUCUCAGAGGAACUUCAGAUGACCCUGAGAAGGAUGUCGCAGGGGAAAGCGACAGCUGCCCAUGGUGGGUGGUGUCACUGGAGGACGCCCUGACUUCGCCCUGGCCCUUGAGGCCUAGACAGAUACCUGAGGCCAGAGGGGGCGGGGUGGGGGUGGUCAGGGUGGGCUUCACGGAGGAAAGGAGCCCGGAAGGGAGACUGGCACGGUGAGUAGGACUGCAGUGGGUUGAGUGAGAUCUCCAGGAGGAAGGAUCUGUGAGAACAAAGACACGGAGGUGAGAGCAAGCAGGAGGUGUUCUGGAGCGGGUGAACACAAGGAGCCCUGAGGGCUGAUGAAAGGGGGCGGGGUGGUGGGGGGUGAGGCUGGGCCUGACGUCAGAGGUGCUCCUCUAUGUCAGGCCCUCUGGCCCAACCGGCCAGCCUCUUCGAACACCGAGGUCAGGGGGAAGCAGCGGCUUCAUCGCUCGAUAACCUCCCAUGGCUCCCCAUGACCCUCCCGUGAGGUCAAAAGCCUGGCCAGGCAUUCAAGGCCCCAGCAUGCCCACUGCCACCUUAUAGGGAGCCUAGGCUCCCCUGGGGGCCAUGCAAACACAUCCUUCCCUUUCUACGUAGACUUCAAGCCUUUGCUUGGGGUAUUUCCCUGCCUUGAAUCACACUCCCUGCUUGCUAUUUCCACCCAUCCUCUGUAAGCCAGCUAGAGGCCUCUGCCUCCAGGAGGCCUUCAGGGGAAUGGGCCUCCACUCACUUCUCACACUGGACCUCCCAGAGCCCUUUAUUUAGUUAGUUAGUUGUGUUUUUUUUACGCACGCCCUUCGACCAGCCUGUCUGUUGGGUGCAGGGUGGCCGUCUCAUGUGCCUGGGCCUUGGAGCUGGUUGGAUCUGGGUUCAAAUUCCCCCUGUGCCCCUCACUAUCCA